rnacentral:rRNA from 1 species
AUUGAACGCUGGCGGCAGGCCUAACACAUGCAAGUCGAACGAGUGGCGGACGGGUGAGUAAUGUCUGGGCAACUGCCUGAUGGAGGGGGAUAACUACUGGAAACGGUAGCUAAUACCGCAUACCAUCGGAUGUGCCUAUAUGGGAUUCGCUUGUAGGUGAGGUAACGGCUCACCUAGGCGACGAUCCCUAGCUGGUCUGAGAGGAUGACCAGCCACACUGGGACUGAGACACGGUCCAGACGCCUACGGGAGGCAGCAGUGGGGAAUAUUGCACAAUGGGCGCAAGCCUGAUGCAGCCAUGCCGCGGGUAUGAAGAAGGCCUUCGGGUUGUAAAGUACGUUCAGCGGGGAGGCGUUACCCGCAGAAGAAGCACCGGCUAACUCCGUGCCAGCAGCCGCGGUAAUAC